rnacentral:tRNA from 1 species
GUUUAUAAAUGGAUGCCUAAUAGACUCAAAAUCCCCCGCCGCAAGGUGUGUCGGUUCGAGUCCGACCCUGGGCACCA